rnacentral:lncRNA from 1 species
CCACCCUGACAUGAAGAAGAGACUGGUCAUGUCAACCUCAGGGAAAGAACUCUCAAAGACCUCAAAUGACUGAGGAAAGAGAGCAGCAGGAAGCUGUGAGUGGGAGAAAGUUAGAACAUUCAGAUCAAAGAAGCUUCAUAGACUGGUCAAGGUAAAUCUAACCCUCUUCCCACUGCUCCACUCCUGUGCAUCUCACCAUACAUCUGAAGUGCUGGAUAUUUAUGGCAUCACCAGGCUUCUUCCUUCCAGCAGUGCUCCCCUUUCCUCUUGGGGGACAGCAGAGGUAGAGACACAGAUCUGGUUGUGGUUUGUAAAGCUGGGAGGAGGCCCAUCCUGACUCUGCCUUAUGCAGAUGGGGGAGUGGCAUCUACUGGCUCAUCUGU